GUCCUUUAGUUUAUGAUUUAAGGUCUGACCUGCCCAAUGAUUAUUUUGAAUGGCCGCAGUAUUUUGACUGUGCAAAGGUAGCAUAAUCAUUAGUUUUUUAAUUGAAAGCUGGAAUGAAUGGUUUGAUGAAAAAAUAACUGUCUCAAUAAAAUUUAUUUAGAAUUUUAAUUUUAAGUGAAAAAGCUUAAAUGUUUUAUGAAGACGAGAAGACCCUAUAGAGUUUAAUAUUAUUUUUACUAAUUGCUUUAGGUUUUAUUUUAUAUAUUAGUAUAUAUAGUAUUUUGUUGGGGUGACAGAAAAAUUUGAUGAACUUUUUAUGGUUUUUAACAUUAAUUUAUGAAUAUAUGAUCCUGAUUUUUGGAUUAAAAGACUAAAUUACCUUAGGGAUAACAGCGUAAUUUCUUUGGAGAGUUCUUAUCGAUAUAGAAGUUUGCGA
rnacentral:rRNA from 1 species